CUUAUCGAUAGAAGUUUCUGGUUUUCCCCACUUUACAAAGUGGAAUUGGCUAUAAAAAGCCAUGUUGAGGGGACUGAGAGAGAUCAGCCAAGAAGCAACAGCCAGCCAUGGGUGGAGGCAAUGGCCAGAAAUCAAGAAUGGCUCGUGAGAAACACAUGGAGAAAAACAAACCCACAAAGGGUUUCAAUGUGAUUUGAUGGUGGGGUUGCAUGCAUGUAGUGCAAGGUUUGCAUGCAGGCAUUCAUAUGCACCACAUCAGAGGUGAAGUGCAAGGAACAUGCUGAAGCAAAGCACCCAAAGUCUGAUAUCUUUGCUUCCUUCCCUCACCUUAAGAAAUGAAAUCAAGUUUGUGUAUUUGUGUGAUUGAAUUUGAAGUUUGUGUUAAAAGUUGUUGCCAAGGUAUUGGAUUCCCACACAAUUCAUACUUGUUUUGUGCUAUUAUAUAUGGUAUACUUGUUAUAUAA